GAUGAAGAACGCAGCAAAAUGCGAUAAGUAAUGUGAAUUGCAGAAUUCAGUGAAUCAUCGAAUCUUUGAACGCACAUUGCGCCCGCUGGUAUUCCGGCGGGCAUGCCUGUUCGAGCGUCAUUUCAACCCUCAAGCCCCCGGGUUUGGUGUUGGGGAUCGGCUCUGCCCUUCUGGGCGGUGCCGCCCCCGAAAUACAUUGGCGGUCUCGCUGCAGCCUCCAUUGCGUAGUAGCUAACACCUCGCAACUGGAACGCGGCGCGGCCAUGCCGUAAAACCCCAACUUCUGAAUGUUGACCUCGGAUCAGGUAGGAAUACCCGCUGAACUUAAGCAUAUCAACAAGCGGAGGA
rnacentral:misc_RNA from 1 species